AUACGUAGGGGGCGAGCGUUGUCCGGAAUGAUUGGGCGUAAAGGGCGCGUAGGCGGCCCGGUAAGUCUGGAGUGAAAGUCCUGUUUUUAAGAUGGGAAUUGCUUUGGAUACUGUCGGGCUUGAGUGCAGGAGAGGUAAGUGGAAUUCCCAGUGUAGCGGUGAAAUGCGUAGAGAUUGGGAGGAACACCAGUGGCGAAGGCGACUUACUGGACUGUAACUGACGCUGAGGCGCGAAAGUGUGGGGAGCAAACAGGAUUAGAUACCCUGGUGGUCCACACUGUAAACGAUGAAUGCUAGGUGUAGGGGGUAUCGACCCCUUCUGGGCCGCAGUCAACACAAUAAGCAUUCCGCCUGGGGAGUACGGCCGCAAGGUUGAAACUAAAAUGAAUUGGCGGG
rnacentral:rRNA from 1 species